UUUAUUUGGUAACAGACUGUUUCCAGAUGUAUUUAACCUUGUCCUUAUCUCAUGUAAAUCAUACAUUUAUUCAUGUAAAUUGAAAAAUGCUUGCCAAACUUAGAAAGACUUAAAAAGUGUAUUAAAUAUUUAUUUAAAGUAAAUAAACACAAUGCAGCUAAAACUUUUAAGUUACAAAAUUUUGAAAGUCAAUGGAGACAUCUCCUCCAAUUGAUAGAUUAGAAAUUCUUUGAAAAGAAAUUAUUGUGGUUACUAUUAUACCAGAUUUAUAUAAAUGCCGCUUCCUUUCUACCUUUUAUACUCUUAUAUCAAAAGAUUCAAAGUUAAAGCGCUUCUAUAUUGUUUGUAUCAGGUUAAAAAUAGGUUGCCCACUCCCUUCAAAUAAACACCCGGUCACACAGAUAGAAGACUCACACGCUAAAAUUCCUUGCCUUUUUAUUUUCUUUUCCUUUCUAUUUUUGUUGUUGUUGUUGUUUUUUCUCCUGGAGUACUGUUGUAUUGUGUUCAAUAUAUUACAGUAUCAACUGACAAUCUUGCCUUACAAACUAGAUUCUGUGCCCUUUUGUUGUCUUUUUUUCUCUCUUUAACUCGGUGAAUAUUUCUAUUGUCUUAAACAAACUGAAGAAAUUGUUAUUAAGAAUAAGAAAUAUUAUCGUAAAGAUAAUUUAAAAUUUUAAGGAAUGAAAAACAACAAAAAAAAAUAAUUUUUGUUUUAUAUCAAUUUCUUAGCUUUUUAACACAUCCAUGCAAAGGGAAACAACUUAGUCAGAAAUAAUGUAUCAUUAAUAACAGCUUUUAUCUCCCUUCAGUUAUCUUGUAGUCAAAUGGUAUCUUUGAUGGCAAAAGAAUAUUCACGACUGUUGUUGCUGUUAUUCACUGACUUUGUCAUUAUGUAUAAUGUGCAGUUAUCUGUUUGUAAUUCAACAUAUCAGCCUACUGAAAGAUUCAUGCUUUAUUAUGUGAACAUGUAAAAGGAGAUAAAAUAUAAAUUACAAAAAAAUAAUAAAAAAUAUUUUGGUCUGGAGCGUUUUCUUAUCCUGGAAGUGAAAACGAUCAGUUUUGUAAGUUUGGUUGUUCUCGAUCGAUCUACAUAGACUGUGAGUCUUUCUACUGAUUGUCAAGCUUUUCGUGUAAGUGUUGUUCCGAUGAAAACAAGUAUUUUAAAAUAACUUUGAUAGUUUUAAUUGCAAGUGAGACAUUUAUGUUUAACAAAGUCUUGUUGCUUUUUAGGUUGGUGUUUUUGUGGCAGAGAUAAAGUGGUGUAUAUAAGUUUAUAGAUGGGUCCACGUGUUUUCAGAUUUCUGCUGCAGCGUAAAAAAGGUUGUGUUCAAGUGACAAAGAUCAAAGAAACAGAUUACGGGUGGAUGUGUUUUUCAAAUAUGGAAUAUCAAAUAUCAUGCACAAAGGUGUUGUUAGAUCUGGAGCACAAACGGGUUACCAUGGAAACAUGCACCUACAUCUAAGUAGUGAUAUCAAUGGAUGACAGACGUCCAGUCGUACAGUUAUACAGCAGAUGUUGGGGCAUAUAGGGUGUGUAUAUUUACUUUAAUUUUCCGUUCUUUAGGCCACACUGUGAUAUGUUUGUUUCUGUUUAUACACAUACAUUUCUGUAUCAGUACACUCAACAGGGCUACCAUAGAGACGUAACACUACAUUUAGGCAGUGGUGCAAAUGGAAAACAGACAUUCAGAUCUACAAAGUUUUACGGCAGAUUCUGGAGUACUAAAGUGAGUAUAUUUACUUUUCCUAGCUUGUUGCCAAACUAUAGACAUAUUUAAUUAUAUUCUUACACAUGCAAUUUUGCAUCUAUACACUCAACAGGGUUACCAUGGAAACAUACUUCUAGGCAAUGGCAUAGAUGGAUGGCCGACGCCUGGAUCUACAAAGUUAUACAGCAUAUUUUGGAGAAUACAUGGUUUAGCACGGAAACGCAUGUCCACAGCAAUGCAAUGGUAUAAAUGGAUGACUGACGUUCAGAUGUACUAAGUUAUACAGCAAACUUUGGAGCAUAAAGGGUGUGUAAAUUUACUUUUCUUUUGAUGCGCAAUUUGUAUAAAGGUAAUACUAAGAUUAUAUAUGUUUGUUUCUGUUCUUACACAUGCCUGUCUGUAUCUUAUACACACAACAGGUUUAGCACGGAAAGGCAUGUCCACAGCAAUGCAAUGGUAUAAAUGGAUGACUGACGUUCUGAUGUACUAAGUUACACAGCAAACUUUGGAGCAUAAAGGGUGUGUAAAUUUACUUUUCUUUUGAUGCGCAAUUUGUAUAAAGGUAAUACUAAGAUUAUAUAUGUUUGUUUCUGUUCUUACACAUGCCUGUCUGUAUCUUAUACACACAACAGGUUUAGCACGGAAAGGCAUGUCCACAGCAAUGCAAUGGUAUAAAUGGAUGACUGACGUUCUGAUGUACUAAGUUACACAGCAAACUUUGGAGCAUAAAGGGUGUGUAUAUUUACUUUUCCUUUGAUGCGUAUAAAGGUAAUACUAAGAUUAUAUAAUAUUAUGUUUGUUUCUGUUCUUACACAUGCAUUUCUCUAUCUAUACACUCAACAGGGUUACCAUGGAAACGUACCUCUUCAUCUAGGCAAAUUUAUCAACUGAUGGCCGUCGUUCAAGUCCCUGGCAAAGAGAGGAAUCUAGCUGUCGACCAAGUGCUACAGGCUUAGGUUUAAAUAAUUUAAGCCUUGCUAAGACCUGAAAAUGAAUGUCAGGUAAAACUGAAACAAAAGUAAAAUAACUGGAUGCACUUAGAGAGCACGUAAUCUAUCUUUUAUAUUUUCGCUUCGUAAUACUGUAUGUUUAGUGUUUGCUGUUUUGUCAGGGGUUUGUUUACAGUGGCUACUUGGUUGUGUUUGUGGUGGUGUUUGUUGUGGUGUUUGUUGUGUGUUUGUUGUGGUGUUUUGUGUUUAUGGAGGUGUCUGCGGUGGUUUUAAUGUGGUUUUCUCGGUUUUAUUCUUGAUGGCUGUGUUGUUUUGUUGAAGACGGGUAUUUGGUGCGUUUUGUUUGUUGUAUUGGGUUCUUCGUCAUGGUGGUUUUCUUUCUGCCAUUACCAAUGUAUUAUUACUCGCUUUGUAUACUGUAGAAAAUUAUUAGAAUAAGUUCAAUAUUACAUUGUGUUAUAGUAACUUUACUUGUCCAGCAAAUUUUAGAUACCCGGAAACACAUAUGAAGAUAUAUGCAGACGAACAGGCAUCGUGUGCAGACGACAGCUUGGACUGGGUAAGAGUGCGCCAUUGUUUUAUUUCUGCUUUUUAUUCCAUUUGUUUUGCAUUGCUUUUUUCCAAGUUAUAUACAAGCAGAUGUAAAGAUGUCGCAUUGUAGAUGACACAAUGGUCUAGUGGAUAGUGAAGAUAGCGCGGCUGAUGUUGACUGUACAGACAAGCGUAACUAAGAUGUCAUGAUGUAGAAGUGGACGACUCAGAUUGGUUCUUCUUCUCGGACGCACUGAGUAUUCAGUCAGCAGAGCAUAACUUUCAACAUUCAGAAAGCAAAGGUCAACAGGGAGUAAUUCAGUAGCAUGGGAAUGUGGACACAGAUCCUGUUUUUUUUGUGAAAGAAAUACUUCAAAUGUCCGACGAGAAGCAAUUUCUUGGAUUAUACACGAAGAAAAUGUUAGUUGAUGGAACAAUAGUGGCAGUAGAACGACCUUGCUGGUAUCCUAACGAAGCCGGUCACCAGAUGUGCAUAGAAACCCUAUCGAACCCUUGCGUUAACAUGGUAAUCAGCCGUUAUCAACAAGGCAAGAUAGUGCAUGGUUAUAGUGGAAUUCAAGCCUUGGUGGACCUUUCUUCGGUAUUUGUCCCGUCUUGUUGAUGGUAGACAGCUGUUCCACACCUCGUACACAACAGAGAAACCCCCUCGGACGAAGACUUCGUUUAGAUCUAAAAGGCAAGGAGACAGUGUUUGCCAUUAUUGAAAGACAAAGAAAAAGAAGCCAUGACAGAAAACACAUAUCACCGUACCGGCUUGUCUUUAAUGUUUCCAACCGCUGACAGGCCGAUGUAAGCCAGAUUCACAAGUAAGACGUAUCUGCAGAAGGAAGAACUAAUUAUGGUAGAUCCACGAAAGUCCUGGCACAAGCAAACAUGGCACCACCACAGCCCCGACACAAGCCUUGUUAAACAGAAUAGAUAUGAACUGACAUGUAUAUAAUUAUACCCUCAUGUACAAAGUACAUGGGAUUAUAUUGGAGUCACACAUGUCGGCGGGUCCAUUCGUCCGUUCGCCUAUUUGUCCAUCAUGUCCGCUGGGAAGAUUAAAAAAAAAACUGGCUUCAUUUAUAAGCCUCAUCAAGAAUGUUCGUUGUGCUCAACCCAAGUCACUAGGCCCAAGGUCGGUAUUACUCUUGGAGGACAAAGUUCAAAUAACUUUAAUUUAGUGUCCGGUCCAUAUUGUCUAAACUGCAACGAAUAUUUAGGUCAGACAUUCGUUUUGUACUCGCCCUGCCUUCAGGGUCACUGUCACCGUUGCAUUCAGGUUAAAUUUUUAUAUGAUUCUCAAAGUCACUAUAUAUUUUUAACUGCCCAUAGCAUCACUAGCAUCAAACUUCACACGAGGGUUGAUUGUGGUAAUACGCAGACAUUUAUUUGUUAGGGGUCAAGCAUCCAAAAGGUCGAAGUUACUGGGGUCAUAUUUUGUAAUUAUGCUGGUUAAAUCUUAAAUUGUUUCUUAUAUCUUCUCAUUCACCCGCUCCUACCCCCUACCCUACCCCCAAAUGGAAAAGAGUCUUAUUGUUUCAUAACUCACGCUUACUUAUAUCCUAUAACAAUAAAUAUUGGUCAGCAUUUCCGAAUAGUCACGCGGGCUUUCCUUCCAACAGUUCUUGAUAUAAAAUUAGGAUUAGUAAAUAGAUGUAGGCACUCACAACCUAGUUCAUUAGGUCAAAGGUUAAGUUCUGACUUAAGAGACCGCACCAUAUUGUCUAAUCUAAUAAAGUAAGCACUAACUCUCAAUUCCAUCUAGCCGAAAUACGAAAAGCACAACACAUGCCAAAGGUUAAAGGUCAGUGUGACGCACAGGAGGUCAAAGGUCAAAUAGCUUUGUGUCUGCUACAUACCUUGUAACCCCAUUUUCCUUACACUCAUAAAACCACCUCAUUUUCCUUACACUCAUAAAACUAGCAAUAAAUAUCAAGAAGACCUGUAUAGAACCCAGAUUAUUUGAUCCAAGGUCAAGGUUACACUUGAAUGUCAAAAUGAUGACCAACGUUGACUUACCCUGCAUCAAAGCAGCGUCUGGGGGUAACAGUAGCUCGUUUAUCAUUUUAGCGGACUAAAUUUGUAAUUGUAUCAACCAUUUGGCAAAUAUUUCCUUAAUUUUAUGAUAAAUAUAUAAAACAAAAAUCAGGACAUUGUUUUUUGAACACUGAUACAGUCGGACUAUUUUUAGACAUAACGAAUAUUUUAGCUUGGUUUGUUGUCAGUCAUGAUUUAAUGCAAGGUAUUUUUCUAAAUGAUAUUUUUGUUAUAAAUAGCACAUUUGACAUUCAUGUAAAAAAAUCAGGGACAGCGAAUUUUUAUAAGAAAAAAAUGAUUUGGUUAAAUAUUUCAAAAAGUGUCUCAAAUUUUUGCUCUUUUGAACAGUUGCGUUUUAACUGGUCAGGGAUAGUUUCAAAAAUAAAUAUGCGUAGUUUAGUUUAUGUAUAAAAAGCUACUUUUCGCAAAUUGUACAUUUUGGAGCGGGGCUAAAUUCCAGACUCUCAUAUAUUUUAAAACAUAUAGAAGACAUUUCUUUGCUUCAGUGUAAGCUCGAAAUAGAAACAUUCUGGUGUUCACACGUGAAAUUUUUUAAAAAGUAAUCACGGAUUUUAUUCUAAUGCAUUUUAUUAUUUUUAUUUUAUAUUUUCUGCCAACGUAACGUCAUACGCAAUGUGCAACGUUACUCUACAUUUAAUGGCAAUAUAUAUGUUGGAAAAAAGUGACAUAGUGACAUUUUAAUCUAUGUGUACUUCUGUUUUAAUUAAAAAGAUAUCCGAUUCUACGUUUUUUAUAUUCUUGCGUUAAAUUGUGGUUACAUACAAGUGAAAAUUAUAUUUGGAUUUCCCACCCUUAAACAGUGGCUUUAUCAGGAUAUAAUGCAUCGUUGUUUUCUUGAAACCUUCUCAAAAUUUGAUAUAUAAUUCCAUAUACUAGUAACUGCAGAAUGUACCGAUAAGACUGUAAUUCUUUUAUUCAAAUCCGCAUUCUAGUCCUUUGUCUGGGUCAUCUACAUGUUGCUUUUAAAAGUCAUUUUGGCCUCAUUUUUGUACACUGAAUUUUACACACUGUUUGGCAUAACUUUUAACCAACACCUAACUCUGAGCACUAACCUUAACCAUUUGGGGCUGAAGUGACUUUUAAAGCAACUUUGUCUUUUAUGGGAAUAAGACUAGCAUAUCUUUAUAUAUGAUAGGUAAAAUUGUUUGCAAACUUUCAAGAUUUUAGUCUAUCCUUUUAAUGGAGUACUGUAGUAUAACAUGAUAAAUUCAUUGUUUUAAACAGAGAGAAAUCCAAAUAUGAUGUUCACUAGAACGGAACUACACUUAAACGCGAAAGGAUAUGAAUUGUAAGGACGUGAAAUAUGCUUAAAAGCAACAAAGCUGUAUAGUAAUGCUUUCAAAAAAAACUAAAUACACGAGAAAAUCAUUGAAAUAUAAAAGAUUCUUAUACAUCUCUUAGACCUAUUGAACUUAUUUUCCAACAUAAGCAUUGUGACGUCAUGAAAUAUAGCGUGACGUUACCCAUAGCGCAUGUCUUUGCAUGGCUGAAUAAGAAAAGAUAGUAUGAAAAAUAAUUAGCCUAGUUUAACUCAACAAGACAUAAAGCAAUACAACAUUUAUGUGUAUACAUGUAAUUUGGUUAAAACUGUUAGAAGUUAAGAAUUAGAUAUCAACGUUUCAUAAUGAAUUAUUUUCACUUGGGAACGCCAGAUUAAGUUCACUCGGUGCUGAAAUAAACGAAUGUCUUCUAUACCUUUUACGAUAGCAAAUGGGUAAAACUUAAGGUGACAGAAAUAACUAAAACAAUCCCUUACCAUUUUGAAAUGACAGUCAGUUUCAUUUUUGGUGCAAAUAUUGUCUGUUAUACUGAUUUAUUAAUGAUACACAUUUUUGUACCUUGCAUUACAGUAACGUAGAUAUUUUAAAAUAUAAUUCCAAGUUUACCAUAUUUUCUCAAGGAGUUGAAUUCAAGGAAUUUUUGUACAUAUCGUAUUAAAUUGUAAAAUAAUAGUAUUUUAGAAGUAUUUUUAUUGUUUUAACUCUGUAGUUAUACUUUUCAAAUGUUAUUUGUGAUUAUUUUUUACAUUUCAUUUCUGUUUGAAAAAUGAAUAAAAUGAGAUACAGUU